rnacentral:rRNA from 1 species
GUAGCCGACCUGAGAGGGUGAUCGGCCACACUGGGACUGAGACACGGCCCAGACUCCUACGGGAGGCAGCAGUAGGGAAUCUUCCGCAAUGGACGAAAGUCUGACGGAGCAACGCCGCGUGAGUGAAGAAGGUUUUCGGAUCGUAAAGCUCUGUUGUCAGGGAAGAACAAGUACGAGAGUAACUGCUCGUACCUUGACGGUACCUGGCCAGAAAGCCACGGCUAACUACGUGCCAGCAGCCGCGGUAAUACGUAGGUGGCAAGCGUUGUCCGGAAUUAUUGGGCGUAAAGCGCGCGCAGGCGGUUCCUUAAGUCUGAUGUGAAAGCCCACGGCUCAACCGUGGAGGGUCAUUGGA